rnacentral:rRNA from 1 species
CUCCCUCGUUGCUGACCCCAGGUUCGAUAGUGCCGAUGAGACACAACCUCGCCAAGAACCAACUUCGAUGAAGCGACGGGCGGUGUGUGCAAGG